rnacentral:rRNA from 1 species
CCUACGGGUGGCUGCAGUGGGGAAUAUUGGACAAUGGGCGAAAGCCUGAUCCAGCCAUGCCGCGUGUGUGAAGAAGGCCUUCGGGUUGUAAAGCACUUUCAGUGGGGAAGAAAGCCUUGGGGCUAAUACCCUCGAGGAAGGACAUCACCCACAGAAGAAGCACCGGCUAACACCGUGCCAGCAGCCGCGGUAAUACGGAGGGUGCGAGCGUUAAUCGGAAUUACUGGGCGUAAAGCGCGCGUAGGCGGUCUGAUAAGCCGGUUGUGAAAGCCCCGGGCUCAACCUGGGAACGGCAUCCGGAACUGUCAGGCUAGAGUGCAGGAGAGGAAGGUAGAAUUCCCGGUGUAGCAGUGAAAUGCGUAGAGAUCGGGAGGAAUACCAGUGGCGAAGGCGGCCUUCUGGACUGACACUGACGCUGAGGUGCGAAAGCGUGGGUAGCAAACAGGAUUAGAUACCCCGGUAGUC